GCGUGAGUGAUGAAGGCCUUCGGGUUGUAAAACUCUUUUAGAUGUGACGAUGAUGACGGUAACAUCAGAAAAAGCUCCGGCUAACUUCGUGCCAGCAGCCGCGGUAAUACGAAGGGAGCGAGCGUUGUUCGGAAUCACUGGGCUUAAAGCGUGCGUAGGCGGAUUGGUAAGUAAGAAGUGAAAUCCCAGGGCUUAACCCUGGAACUGCUUUUUAGACUGCCUGUCUGGAAUUCGGUAGAGGUUGGUGGAACUCCUAGUGUAGAGGUGAAAUUCGC
rnacentral:rRNA from 1 species